GCGAAGAAGAGAGAAAAGAGCUACGAUCUGCUCGUCCAAGUCUUGCCACUUCCAUAGCUGUUUGUUCCGUAGUUUCCUUCACCUUUCCUUUCUUCUUGCUUAUAUUGAAGAAAACUGAAUGUUCUCUUUCAACCUGGAACUCUCUAAAUGCCUUACUUGUUUAUCAUCUCUCUAUCCAAUCUGUUAAUUUUAGUUAAAGUAACGAAAUUUUCUAGCUCUUUCGGUAUCUCAUUGCUUUUUCCAUGAAAUUGCUAAUAAAUUCUCGUCAAAUUUUCAUGUGCCAAUCUCUUUAUUUUCUUAUUACAUUGUCCUCACCUAGAUUUCCAUUUGUGUAUGUGUUCGCUAAAUUGUCUCACUGAAAUUCUUACAAGUAUUUGUAUUUGGAUUGGAAAAAUUUGUGCGUUUGGGCCUCUUUAUUUUCUUGUUACAUAGUGCACGGUGAGAUUUUUCCAUUUGUGCCUAAUAUGUUCAAUGAAUAGUGUCACUGAAAUUUCAAAUUUUUUCAAAUUCGUGUAUUUGGGUUGGAAACUUUUGUGCGUAUGGGCCUCUUUAUUUCCUUAUUACUUUAUGCACAGUGAGAUAUUUCCAUUGGCUGCGAUCGUAGGCCUAGCUUGAGUUCUCAUGAGCCUUGGGUUUCCAAAUCUUUGUCUUAUGAUGGAAGGGUAGUUGAAGAAUCAGUCAGUUAGGCCUUUCUGUUACAAGCUAAUGAAAGAUCUCCAAUGAACACAGGGACCUACUGGAAGGACCAUAUUUGGAAUAUGUAUUUGGAUUGGUUUUACCAUUGAAAUGUAUUCUGGCUCAGAAGGAUCGAGUGAAAUGUUAGUGCAGGGAAGGAUGAGCCAUGUUGUCUCCUAAACGUGGCAAAUAGUGUCUUUUUCCUUGCAUUUCAAGCUUCGUAAGAACUUUGGAGUGUGUGUUUGUCAUUAUUGUUUGAGCUGACAUUAUUGUUAGACAUCAAUAAAGUUUGUUUUUAAGGUGCCAACAAGGGGUGAUUGGAGUGUAGCCUUUGGGCUGAUUGAGCCUUCAAUGAAUCAAAAAAAAAUUUGUUAGUGGUAUUUUUUUUAAGCAGUUUCAACAUGUCAAAAUAAG